rnacentral:rRNA from 1 species
CGGACGUGAGCAAUCUGCCUUGGAGUGGGGAAUAACGGCUGGAAACAGCCGCUAAUACCGCAUGAUACAGCUGGGAGGCAUCUCCCUGGCUGUCAAAGAUUUAUCGCUCUGAGAUGAGCUCGCGUCUGAUUAGCUUGCCGGCGGGGUAACGGCCCACCGGGGCGACGAUCAGUAGGGGUUCUGAGAGGAAGGUCCCCCACAUUGGAACUGAGACACGGUCCAAACUCCUACGGAAGGCAGCAG